AUGCAAGUCGAACGCCCCCCUAGGGGAGAAACGCACGGGUGAGUAACGCGUGGAUAUCUGCAAUCUGGUUCGGAAUAACCCCGGGAAACUGGGGCUAAUACCGAAUGGCUCCUACGGGAUAAAGAUUUAUCGCCAGAAGAUGAGUCCGCGUACGAUUAGCUAGUUGGUGAGGUAAUGGCUCACCAAGGCGACGAUCGUUAGCUGGUCUGAGAGGACGAUCAGCCACACUGGGACUGAGACACGGCCCAGACUCCUACGGGAGGCAGCAGUGGG
rnacentral:rRNA from 1 species